rnacentral:lncRNA from 1 species
CCUCCCUUGUAUCCCCUUUCACUCCCAAACACUCUCCAAUCCUUCGACUCUCUAGAACUUUCUGGUUCUCUCAUGGCAUUCAUCGCCAUACCAGCUCACUCCUCCCUCACUCCUCUAAACUUCCAGCAACCAUGGAGUUCCUAUAUCGUGGCUUCCUCUCUCAAGCUUGAAGCCUAGAAGCUUCCUCCAUGGAAGACGGUCACUGAAGCUCUAUUUGGGGUCUGUUUCCAGAUUUUCUCUGGUGGUCUUUGAACGAAGAUGCCUUCUAUGGCAUUAUAUACGAGUUUCAUAGCCAGAUUCUUCGUUUUCCUAAUCUGUUUGAAAACCCUAAUUUAUUCUCUUUAAUCUCUA